GUGCUCAAUUUCAGCAUCACAUACACCAAAGUUGAAACAACAUAGAGAUUAGCGUGGCACCUCUGCAAAAAUGACAUGCAAAUUUGUGAAGUGUUUCAUAUUUUC